UUGUAUAAAUAAAUUAUAUUUUUAAAAACAAAAAUAAAACAAAAUAGAAGAAAUCUUCAUUCAUUCAUCCAUCCAAACAUUGGCUUCGAAGCACGAGACUUUUUCGACAGUUUCUCUAACGGUAACUUUCCUCUUCGAGAAAGGAAUAUUGAACGGCGUCGCGUAUCGAGUGUACUCAAUCAAUUUCAAACCCAUUUCAUUAAGAAGAUAUCGCAGAGCUUCUCUCACCAUCCAUAUUGGCCCUUCAGCAAGCUCCGAACGAAGCUCGGAAUUUCUUCUACGAUAAACUCUUUGUAUUCUCUAGAGUUUCCAUCCUCAGGAAGAAGCUGUUCCCGAACUCCUUUUCUACCUCGAGAAAGGCAAUGGCACGACCAGACAGGCCACAAUACGCACGGAUGAAUUGAAUAGAAGAAAAGAAACGGGCGUGGAUCCUUUAUCGAAGAGUAUACGCUCGUGAAAUGAUCGUAAAAAGCUGCUAUGCCCUGAAGCAGCAAUCUCUCUGUGUUCCCUGCCAUUUUGUAAUAAAUAUCCAUACGUCGACGAACAAUGGAAGUGCGACGCGUCGAGACGUCGAACGGAAGAAUAGCUCGCGAGACCUGAGAUAUUGCUCCAAGUGAAUAACGAAAAGCAUCGAAUUCGAUGUACGCCUUUUACUCAUACUCUUUUUAUUUCUACUCGAACCGUGCGCAUACCUCUCUCUCUCUCUCUCUAUAUAUAUAUAUAUAUAUAAGUCUAUCCACGUAUAACAUUCCAAAGGGUGGAUCUACAGAAAGUUAUUGCGAUAGUUCGUAACGAAAAAUUUCAUUUAUUCGAACGAAAUCAACUAACGAUUGUUAAAUAGAAAAUUAUAUUGCAUGAAAUUUUAAAUGUGAUUAAUAGGUACGACAUACAAUACGCAUAUUGGCGUUUAUAGGUACAACGAUUUCUUUUCCUUUGUUUCCUCCAGUUUGCAAUCAAAGCCCAUUUGUCGAGUUAUCGCGUAACACGAACAAUUCAUCUUUGUAAAUGAGAAGCAUCACCAAAUUCUCUCUCUAAAAGCUUAAGAAGAAAUCGGCGUUAAUUAUUCCAAUGUAUACUAAUUGCUGAUUUAGUGGAUUAUCUGGUUAUCUACUAAACUGUCUCUCUCUGUCUCUCUCUCAAUCACUUUCUCUGUUUCAUUAUUUUUCUUUGUAUUUCCAUUUGGUUAAUAUAUUGUAAGAAUGAGGAGAGAGUGAGGAGCGAAAAUCAAUAACAUGUGGUUUAAAAUAAAAA